CCUACGGGCGGCAGCAGUGGGGAAUAUUGCACAAUGGGGGAAACCCUGAUGCAGCAACGCCGCGUGAGUGAAGACGUAUUUCGGUAUGUAAAGCUCUAUUAGCCGGGAAGAAGACAGCCGGUCCCUGACUAAGAAGCCCCGGCCAACUACGUGCCCACCGCCGCGGUAAUACGUAGGGGGCAAGCGUUAUCCGGAUGUACUGGGUGUAACGGGAGCGUUGGAGGCUGUGAAAGUCUGAAGUGAAAGCCCGUGGCUCAACCGCGGAACUGCUUGGGAAACUGUAGAGCUUGAGUACUGGAGAGGCAGGCGGAAUUCCGAGUGUAGCGGGGAAAGGCGUAGAUAUUAGGCGGAACACCAGGGGCGAAGGCGGCCUGCUGGACAGAAACUGACGUGGAGGCUCGAAAGCGUGGGGAGCAAACAGGAUUAGAUACCCUAGUAGUC
rnacentral:rRNA from 1 species